UGGUGUUAGUUAGGUUCUAAAAGUGAUCAAAUGUAGGUGGGGGUUGAUAAUUGUCAUACCCGUGAGUGUUAGAAAAAGAAAGAAAGAAAAGGAGAAAUAGUCUAGAGACAUUGCCCAUGGCCUUCUCUGGAUCUUUAUUAUUCAAGACUCCUGGCUAUGUAAAAUGUCUUUGGGCUGAAUUUGGACUCUCUCUCUCUCUCUCUCUCUCUCUCUCUCUCUAGCAAGUGUGGACUUGGUGGUAGAGUUGAAGCACAUUCCUCAAUCUUGAUCCUCUCUAGUUGGAUGCUUAAUUGCAGGAGAAACAAGAAACUACAGAAACAAGGAUGGAGAAUGAAUUAGAGAAGAGCAACAAGCAUAUGAAAAACUCAAUGGAGAUCAAUAUCCCAUCUGGGACCGAGAUGCCCUCACUCACCUCCCCUCCGCCUACUGGCUCGACAGGAUUGGCUAGACAGGGAAGCAUUACAAAGAACAACAACUGCCUCUGCUCUCCUACAAACCAUGCCGGUUCAUUCCGGUGCAGGCUUCACCGUACCCCAACCCCUCCUGCCUCGACCCUCACUGGACUACUACGUACCAAGAGCAUCGACUCCCCGGCAUCAUCGCUCAAGGACUCGCACUCCAACAAGGCUAAUGACACAAGUGCUCAUGAAACUAGUGCUACUACUUGAAGCACAGUAGAGGCUCCCUAACUCUGAGAUGUGUAUUGAAGUGCUUGUUUUGUUCCUGUGAUUAUGUUGUAAUUACUUCUAUAUAUAUAUAUUUCUAGUUUUCGACAUUGAUGUCUCUUCUUUUUUGUUGGCAUUCAUAGUUUUGUAUCGCUUCCCUAUCACUUCUUGUAGAUUGAAUAAAUUUCUGUAAUGACAUUGUAAUUGCUCCUUC